rnacentral:tRNA from 2 species
GCAGUCGUGGCCGAGUGGUUAAGGAGAUGGGCUAGAAAUCCAUUGGGGUCUCCCCGCACAGGUUCGAAUGCUGUCGACUGCG